rnacentral:rRNA from 1 species
AGCGAACGCUGGCGGCAGGCCUAACACAUGCAAGUCGAACGAACCUUCCGGGGUUAGUGGCGGACGGGUGAGUAACACGUGGGAACGUGCCUGUAGGUUCGGUAUCACUCAGGGAAACUUGUGCUAAUGCCGAAUGUGCCCUUCGGGGGUAUGAGUUAUCGCUUCUAGAGCGGCCCGGGUCUGAUUAGCUAGUUGGGUGUGGGAAUGCGUCGCCAAGGCGUGGAGCAGGACCUGGUCCGUGAGGAGGCUCCGCCAGAUUGGGACUGAGACACGGCCCACAACCGGACGGGAGGGAGCAGAGGGGAAUAUAGCGCAAUGGGCGAAAGCCUGACGCAGCCAUGUCGGGUGAAUGAUGAAGGGGUUAGGAUUGUAAAAUUGUUUGAGCGGGGACGAGAAUGACGGUACCCGGAGAAGAAGCCCCGGCUAACUUCGUG